rnacentral:rRNA from 1 species
AAUAGAUACCCCGGUAGUCCACGCCGUAAACGAUGGGUACUAGGUGUCUGGGGGAGCGACCCCCUGGGUGCCGACGCUAACGCAUGAAGUACCCCGCCUGGGGAGUACGGCCGCAAGGCUGAAACUCAAAGGAAUUGACGGGGGCCCGCACAAGCGGUGGAGCAUGUGGUUUAAUUCGACGCAACGCGAAGAACCUUACCUGGGCUUGACAUGCUGAAGAAAGCUUGCGGAAACGUGAGCCCCUCUUCGGAGUUCCAGCACAGAUGCUGCAUGGCUGUCGUCAGCUCGUGUCGUGAGAUGUUGGGUUAAGUCCCGCAACGAGCGCAACCCUCGCCCUUAGUUACCAGCGGGUAAAGCCGGGGACUCUAGGGGGACUGCCGGUGCCAAACCGGAGGAAGGUGGGGAUGACGUCAAGUCAUCAUGGCUCUUACGUCCAGGGCUACACACGUGCUACAAUGGAUCGGACAGAGGGUCGCCAACUCGCGAGAGUGAGCCAAUCCCCGAAACCGGUCCUCAGUUCGGAUUGUAGUCUGCAACUCGACUAC